rfam:Dipodomys ordii contig_37723, whole genome shotgun sequence.
GAGAAUGUGGCUUAGUGGUAGAGUGCUUGCCUAGCAUGCAUGAAGCCCUGGGUUCAAUUCCUCAGUACCAUUA